UACGUAGGGGGCAAGCGUUGUCCGGAAUCAUUGGGCGUAAAGCGCGUGUAGGCGGCCCAGUAAGUCCGCUGUGAAAGCCCAGGGCUCAACCCUGGGAUGCCGGUGGAUACUGUUGGGCUCGAGUCCGGAAGAGGCGAGUGGAAUUCCCGGUGUAGCGGUGAAAUGCGCAGAUAUCGGGAGGAACACCAAUGGCGAAGGCAGCUCGCUGGGACGUGACUGACGCUGAGGCACGAAAGCGUGGGGAGCAAACAGG
rnacentral:rRNA from 1 species